rnacentral:ncRNA from 2 species
AAAAAAUCUACAGCGCCAGGUCCUUUGGGAUGACGAGGAUUGGAGUUAUCGAAAUAUUCGGCGGAUGCUCCAAAGGUUCCACAGCCUAAGUUCCUUAACAAAACAUACAAGAAAUUGUAUAACAAAGCAGGUUCAGUGGAUCUC